CAUAUACUUCCUCUGUCUGGAAUUAGUUGACGCUCAAACAGAUGUAUCUAGACGUUCUAGAUACAUCUGUUUGAGCGUCAACUAAUUCCGGACGGAGGGAGUAUUAA
rnacentral:pre_miRNA from 1 species